rnacentral:rRNA from 1 species
AUUGAACGCUGGCGGCAGGCCUAACACAUGCAAGUCGAACGAGUGGCGGACGGGUGAGUAAUGUCUGGGAAACUGCCCGAUGGAGGGGGAUAACUACUGGAAACGGUAGCUAAUACCGCAUACCAUCGGAUGUGCACAGAUGGGAUUAGCUAGUAGGUGGGGUAACGGCUCACCUAGGCGACGAGCCCUAGCUGGUCUGAGAGGAUGACCAUGCACACUGGAAAUGAGCCACGGUCCAGACUCCUAAGGGAGGACGCAGUGGGGAAUAUUUGACAAUGGGCGAAAGCCUGAUGCAGCCAUGCCGCGUGUAUGAAUAAGGCCUUCGGGUUGUAAAGUACUUUCAGCUAGGAGGCGUUACUCACAGAAGAAGCUCCGGCUAACUCCGUGCCAGCAGCCGCGGUAAUAC